rnacentral:rRNA from 1 species
UACGUAGGGACCAAGCGUUGUUCGGAUUUACUGGGCGUAAAGGGCGCGUAGGCGGCGUGACAAGUCACUUGUGAAAUCUCUGGGCUUAACCCAGAACGGCCAAGUGAAACUGUCGUGCUAGAGUGCGGAAGGGGCAAUCGGAAUUCUCGGUGUAGCGGUGAAGUGCGUAGAUAUCGAGAGGAACACCUGAGGUGAAGACGGGUUGCUGGGCCGACACUGACGCUGAGUGCGCGAAAGCCAGGGGAGCAAACGGG